GCUCAGAACGAACGCUGGUCGCAGGCCUAACACAUGCAAGUCGAGCGCCCCGCAAGGGGAGCGGCAGACGGGAUAGUAACACGUGGGAACGUACCCUUUGGUUCGGAACAACCCAGGGAAACUUGGGCUAAUACCGGAUAAGCCCUUACGGGGAAAGAUUCAUCGCCGAAGGAUCGGCCCGCGUCUGAUUAGCUAGUUGGUGGGGUAAUGGCCCACCAAGGCGACGAUCAGUAGCUGGUCUGAGAGGAUGAUCAGCCUCACUGGGACUGAGACACGGCCCAGACUCCUACGGGAGGCAGCAGUGGG
rnacentral:rRNA from 2 species